GAUGAACGCUGGCGGCGUGCCUAAUACAUGCAAGUCGAGCGAACAGACGAGGAGCUUGCUCCUCUGACGUUAGCGGCGGACGGGUGAGUAACACGUGGAUAACCUACCUAUAAGACUGGGAUAACUUCGGGAAACCGGAGCUAAUACCGGAUAAUAUAUUGAACCGCAUGGUUCAAUAGUGAAAGACGGAUGUGCUGUCACUUAUAGAUGGAUCCGCGCCGCAGUAGCUAGUUGGUAAGGUUACGGCUUACCAAGGCCACGAUGCCUAGCCGACCCGAGAGGGUGAGCGGGCACGCCGGAAUUGGGACACGGUCCAGGCCCCGACUGGUGGGGGCGGUAGGGGAUGUUCCGCCAAGGGCGAGAGCCUUACCGUGCGGCCGCGGGGUAGUGAUGGAGGUUCUCGGAUUCGAAAUCUAUUCUACUUGGGAAGAACAAAUGUGUAAGUAACUAUGCACGUCUUGACGGUACCUAAACAGAAAGCCACGGCUAACUACGUG
rnacentral:rRNA from 1 species